rnacentral:rRNA from 1 species
AUGCAAGUCGAACGCUGAAGCUCCAGCUUGCUGGGGUGGAUGAGUGGCGAACGGGUGAGUAAUACGUGAGUAACCUGCCCUUGACUCUGGGAUAAGCCCGGGAAACUGGGUCUAAUACUGGAUGCUACAUGUCACCGCAUGGUGGUGUGUGGAAAGGGUUUUACUGGUCUUGGAUGGGCUCACGGCCUAUCAGCUUGUUGGUGAGGUAAUGGCUCACCAAGGCGACGACGGGUAGCCGGCCUGAGAGGGUGACCGGCCACACUGGGACUGAGACACGGCCCAGACUCCUACGGGAGGCAGCAGUGGGGAAUAUUGCACAAUGGGCGGAAGCCUGAUGCAGCGACGCCGCGUGAGGGAUGACGGCCUUCGGGUUGUAAACCUCUUUCAGCAGGGAAGAAGCCACAAGUGACGGUACCUGCAGAAGAAGCGCCGGCUAACUACGUGCCAGCAGCCGCGGUAAUACGUAGGGCGCAAGCGUUGUCCGGAAUUAUUGGGCGUAAAGAGCUCGUAGGCGGUCUGUCGCGUCUGCUGUGAAAGCCCGGGGCUUAACCCCGGGUGUGCAGUGGGUACGGGCAGACUAGAGUGCAGUAGGGGAGACUGGAAUUCCUGGUGUAGCGGUGGAAUGCGCAGAUAUCAGGAGGAACACCGAUGGCGAAGGCAGGUCUCUGGGCUGUUACUGACGCUGAGGAGCGAAAGCAUGGGGAGCGAACAGGAUUAGAUACCCUGGUAGUCCAUGCCGUAAACGUUGGGCACUAGGUGUGGGGGACAUUCCACGUCUUCCGCGCCGUAGCUAACGCAUUAAGUGCCCCGCCUGGGGAGUACGGCCGCAAGGCUAAAACUCAAAGGAAUUGACGGGGGCCCGCACAAGCGGCGGAGCAUGCGGAUUAAUUCGAUGCAACGCGAAGAACCUUACCAAGGCUUGACAUAUACCGGAUCGUUCC